GUUAGGAAUAUUGGACAAUGGGCGCAAGCCUGAUCCAGCCAUGCCGCGUGAGUGAUGAAGGCCUUCGGGUUGUAAAGCUCUUUAGCCGAUGAUUAUAAUGACUGUAGUCGGAAAAUAAGCCCCGGCUAACUUCGUGUCAGCAGCCGCGGUAAUACGUAGGGGGCGAGCGUUAUUCGGAAUCACUGGGCGUAAAGCGUGCGUAGGCGGCUUUGCAAGUUGGGAGUGAAAGCCCAGGGCUCAACCCUGGAAUUGCUCUCAAAACUGCAAGGCUCGAAUUCGGGAGAGGAUAGCGGAAUUGUCAGUGGAGCAGUGAAAUGCGUAGAUAUUGACAGGAACACCAGUGGCGUAAGCGGCUAUCUGGACCGAUAUUGACGCUGAGGCACGAAAGCGUGGGGAUCAAACAGGAUUAGAUACCCGGGUAGUCC
rnacentral:rRNA from 1 species